UUCUGCGCCCCGGGAGCAGACCUCUCCUGAAGAAAACCAGAUUCCCUCUGAAGAGGAGAUUCCUCUUGUCCUGUCAGGCACGUCAAAAAUGCUCACACUCACUUCAGAAACAACCCGUGACGCCAACACCUGGUUGUUGUGUGAGUCCCACAGAACUGCCUGAUUCUGUAGACGACUUGUUUCUGAAAACCAGGAAGGAGGGGUGCCCAGGGCCACAGCUGUUGUCACAGAAUUCUCCGGGAGAGGAUUGCGAGUUACAUAGGUUGUGAGUGUCCUCAGGGAACACGAAGUCCUUUGAAUUAAGCACACCAUCAGUCCAGGUGCUCAACAUCUUUUUGGAGCCCUUCCUGGAUUAUCAACCUCAAAUCUUAUUUGCAUUCUGUUUAAGUAUUUAAAGUUGCUUAUUAGUGUUUUGUAAGACAGAGCCAAGGACAGAAUGCUGUUACCACUAAAGACCUCGUUCCUUCUAUCAAACAUUCCUCGGUGGACUUUUGAGUACAGUACCGACAACUUCCACAUUUAUGUAACUGAACCGUCUUCUUAAUUCAUAUUCUUCAAAAAAAAAAAAAGUGAGAAUUUGUGGACUACAAGUAAACUGUCUCCAGAAUUCCUAGAAACUGUUGGCCAUGCACGAAAGGAAAAAUACUGUGGCAUCAUAGAAAAGUCUGGGCUCUCUACAAAGAAAUCAGAAAAGGCUGGGGAGAAUGAAGCCUUGAAAGGUAAGAAAUGAAAAGUCAAGAAAGGAGAGAGAUGGACUCGGGUCCGGAGCGACAGGUCUAGCUUGGGAUCUGCCCUGUCAUUCCCUGGCCUUGCUUAUAGAAACAGUGCAUUUGAAAGUGCCACUUUCCAUAAAACUUUGUGCAGGAAGAAGAGAAUGUAACCCCUUUCCACUGCAGAGGUGUAUGGGAGGUGAAUCAGAUGUCUCUGUCCUCAACUAGCACUUCCUGGGAGCUGGGAGCGUGAGAAUCAGACAACUUUGCACCACGAUUUAUUUUCCUUCU